UACGUAGGGCGCAAGCGUUGUCCGGAAUUAUUGGGCGUAAAGAGCUCGUAGGCGGCCUGUUGCGUCCGCUGUGAAAUCCCGGGGCUUAACCCCGGGCUUGCAGUGGAUACGGGCAGGCUGGAGGCAGGCAGGGGAGAACGGAAUUCCCGGUGUAGCGGUGAAAUGCGCAGAUAUCGGGAGGAACACCGGUGGCGAAGGCGGUUCUCUGGGCCUGUACUGACGCUGAGACGCGAAAGCGUGGGGAGCGAACAGG
rnacentral:rRNA from 1 species